rnacentral:rRNA from 1 species
GUUUGUUUGAAGGUAUAGGUAAUUUGGCCUGCCCCCUGAUUAUAGUAUUAAAGGGCCGCAGUAUUAUAACUGUGCAAAGGUAGCAUAGUCAUUAGGUUUUUAAUUGGAAUCUUGUAUGAAUGGUUGGACAAAAGAAAGACUCUCUUUAUAUUAAUAUUGAAUUUAACUUUUAAGUGAAAAGGCUUAAAUAAUUUAAGGGGACGAUAAGACCCUAUAAAACUUUAUAUUAUGAUUAUAUUUUAGUGAAUUUUUAAAAAAUAAAGGUUUAAUUUAAUUAUUUAUUGUGUUGGGGAGACAUAGGUAAAAUAGUAUUUUAACUGCUUAUAAUUAAUACAAUAAUUUGUGAGUUAGUAGAAGAUCCUUUUUAAAGAUUAAUAAGUUAAGUUACUUUAGGGAUAACAGCGUAAUUUCUUUUGAGAGUUCUUAUCGAUAAAGGAGGUUGCGACCUCGAUGUUGAAUUAAAAAAAUCUUUAUAAUGAAGAGGUUAUAAUAGAAGGUCUGUUCGACCUUUAAAAUUUUACAUGAUUUGAGUUCAAACCGGUGUGAG